GCUAGCAGCCAUAUUACCCUGCAACUCACAACUCACAACUUGCAACCCACUGAAGCUAAGUGGAUGUGAGCCUGGUCAGUACCUGGAUGGGAGACCUCCUGGGAAAAACUAAGGUUGCUGCUGGAA
rnacentral:rRNA from 1 species